rnacentral:rRNA from 1 species
UAGGGAAUCUUCCACAAUGGACGAAAGUCUGAUGGAGCAACGCCGCGUGAGUGAUGAAGGGUUUCGGCUCGUAAAACUCUGUUGUUGGAGAAGAACAGGUGAUAGAGUAACUGUUAUCAUCUUGACGGUAUCCAACCAGAAAGCCACGGCUAACUACGUGCCAGCAGCCGCGGUAAUACGUAGGUGGCAAGCGUUGUCCGGAUUAUUGGGCGUAAAGCGAGCGCAGGCGGUUUUUUAGGUCUGAUGUGAAAGCCUUCGGCUUAACCGGAGAAGGGCAUCGGAAACCGGGAGACUUGAGUGCAGAAGAGGACAGUGGAACUCCAUGUGUAGCGGUGAAAUGCGUAGAUAUAUGGAAGAACACCAGUGGCGAAGGCGGCUGUCUGGUCUGUAACUGACGCUGAGGCUCGAAAGCAUGGGUAGCGAACAGGAU